rnacentral:tRNA from 2 species
GGAGAGAUGGCUGAGCCUGGUUGAAAGCGCUCGACUCGAAAUCGAGUAAGGCCGUGAGGUCUUCGGGGGUUCGAAUCCCUCUCUCUCCG